AUCUGGUUUUGUCUCGGUGACCCUGCUUUGCCCCACACUUUGGGAUUUGAGCAGGCGGGGAUUUAUAUUGUCUGGUAUUGGUACAUAGUUUACCAUAAUCACAGGAUAUUAUUGAAAGAUUUCCCUACCAAUUCACUGCCUUAAAAGCAUUAUAUUAUUUGCUCUGUAUGUGUGUGUAUUACUUUAAGUGUACUCUGGUUCCAGAGGCUCUUUGCGAGGCGAAAGAAACAAGAUGCGAGAACGGAGAGCCUCUGGUCACAUCAGGGCCGUAUCACCAGGGGGCAGUAAGGCUUAUAUGUUGAAAAAAGUUC